rnacentral:rRNA from 1 species
GACGAACGCUGGCGGCGUGCCUAACACAUGCAAGUCGAACGAAGUGGCGCACGGGUGAGUAACGCGUAAUCAACCUGCCCUUCAGAGGGGGACAACAGUUGGAAACGACCGCUAAUACCGCAUACUGAAGGAGGGGAGUGCGUAUGAUUAGCGAGUUGGAGGGGUAACGGCCCACCAAGGCGAUGAUCAGUAGCCGGUCUGAGAGGGUGAACGGCAACAUUGGGACUGAGACACGGCCCAGACUCCUACGGGAGGCAGCAGUGGGGAAUCUUCCGCAAUGGACGAAAGUCUGACGGAGCAACGCCGCGUGAGUGAUGACGGCCUUCGGGUUGUAAAGCUCUGUUAAUCGGGACGCGGUACCGAAAUAGAAAGCCACGGCUAACUACGUGCCAGCAGCCGCGGUAAUUC